GAUGAACGCUGGCGGCGUGCCUAAUACAUGCGAGUCGAGCGAACAGACGAGGAGCUUGCUCCUCUGACGUUAGCGGCGGACGGGUGAGGAACACUUGGAUAACCUACCUCUAAGACUGGUAUAACUUCGGGAGACCUGAGCUAAUACCGGAUAAUAUAUUGAACCUCAUGGGUCCAUAGUGAAAGACGGUUUUGCUGUCACUUAUAGAUGGAUCAGCGCCGCAUUAGCUAGUUGGUAAGGGAACGGCUUACCAAGGCAACGAUGGGUAGCCGACCUGAGAGGGAGAUCGGGCACACUGGCACUGAGACACGGUCCAGACUCCUACGGGGAGCCGCAGUAGGGAAUCUUCCGCGAUGGGCGAAAGGCUGAUGGAGCAAAGCCGGGUGAGUGAUGACGGUCUUCGGAUCGUAAAACUAUGUUAGUAGGGAAGAAGAAAUGUGUAAGUAACUAUGACCGUCUUGACGGUACCUAAACAGAAAGCCACGGCUAACUACGUG
rnacentral:rRNA from 1 species